CACCAGACUCCUACGGGAGGCAGCAGUGAGGAAUAUUGGUCAAUGGCCGGAAGGCUGAACCAGCCAAGCCGCGUGAGGGGGGAAGGCGCAGAGCGUCGCAGACCUCUUUUGCCGGGGGACAAAAGGCCGGACUCGUCCGGUCCUGAGGGUACCCGGAGAAAAAGCAUCGGCUAACUCCGUGCCAGCAGCCGCGGUAAUACGGAGGAUGCGAGCGUUAUCCGGAUUCAUUGGGUUUAAAGGGUGCGCAGGCGGGCCUUUAAGCCGGCGGUGAAAUCGCGGGGCUCAACCUGGAGACUGCACUUGAAACUGGGUGUCUUGAGGGCAGGAGAGGAAAGUGGAAUUCCUAGUGUAGCGGUGAAAUGCGUAGAUAUUAGGAGGAACACCAGUGGCGAAGGCGACUUUCUGGACUGUACCUGACGCUGAGGCGCGAAAGCGUGGGUAGCGAACGGGAUUAGAUACCCGAGUAGA
rnacentral:rRNA from 1 species